rnacentral:rRNA from 1 species
UACGUAGGGGGCAAGCGUUGUCCGGAUUUACUGGGCGUAAAGAGCGUGUAGGCGGCCAGGUAGGUCGGUUGUGAAAACUGGAGGCUUAACCUUCAGACGUCGACCGAAACCAUCUGGCUAGAGUCCGGAAGAGGAGAGUGGAAUUCCUGGUGUAGCGGUGAAAUGCGCAGAUAUCAGGAGGAACACCAAUUGCGAAGGCAGCUCGCUGGGACGUUACUGACGCUGAGACGCGAAAGCGUGGGGAGCAAACAGG